UCAUGUAUCUUCUAAGAGAGAUUUCUCUGGUCACAUUUGCUUACUGUAAACUGACAUCCAAAUCACACUGCUGUGACCUGGAAGUACUACUCAUACUACAAUUGAGAUUCACUUCAUCAAAUACAAUCUGCUCUCCUAUUUUUCCUACCAAAAUAUCACAAAUACAUCCACAAUGAAAUUUAAACAGAAACUAGCUUUAAUUUAGACCUCUGUUACCAUGCCAAGUGAAAAAUUAGUGUUCAAAUACCUGGCAGCCAUUACGCGACUGGACCAGAUGGCUCCCAUGCUGACUUCCUUUAGUUUAGUUAGGUCUUUAAGGUACUGCCGAAUUAGAUGAUGAUAUUGAACGUCAAGUUGAUGAAUUUAUUGCAGUAGGAUCGAAAGAAGCGUUAGCUUGUGGUGAGAAGGAAAAUGUAUUAUCUGUUGAAGAUAACGAAUCUAACCAGUUGCCUGCCUCUGACACCUGCGGUAUCAAUGCAGACAUCAACAUUGCUCCAAAAACACCGGUAGAGGUUGACACUGAUGUAGAUUGUAAUGAUGCCAUAAUAAAAGAAAUGAUCAAGCUAGCACCUUUUGUAAUUAAAGCGCUAGAAAAUGAAGGAAAAUAAACUGUUUCCUAGACUUUUUCAAACAAGUGUACAAUGGCCACCAACUACAGGAUAAUAUUUCGUUUCUGUUAUGGACAGAAGUUGUUGAGUGGCAUAGUUAUGCUAACACAUGCAGCAUGCGAUAUAGCGAUCAAACAAAAAGAAUUUGAAAGCUCGGCUGGCAGAUGUUAGGAGGAAAAAUUCUUCUGUUCAUGAGUGGGUUUAAGAAUACUACUCAAAUAGUGUCAGGAGAUGCAAUUAAGGGCCAUUGUCAACCAGCAAAAUCUGAAAUCAACUUUGCAGUUCCAAAUGUCGCUAGCCGUACGAGUCGGAGGGAAUAAAGUAUAGUAAACGGCGACCCGGUAUAUACAAAGAUAUUAUAACAGCUUUAGCUCCAACACUUCGAGACAAAGCUGUAUGUAUGACAUUUGAUGGCAAAAAGUUAAAGCAAGGUUUGACUGCAGAUUCCGGGGAUGUAGAUCUGCUUGGAUUUGAAGACGGGAAGUCUUUGCCAGAAAAGCAAGCUGAUUUGGAAUUAGAAAUUGUGCGUUAUAAUAUGGCUGCACGUCUAUUUUCCAAGUAAGAUUUGAAUGGCAGUGUGAACAAUUUUACUGAUGAACAGAAAAAAACAAGCCCUAAAUGAUCUGAAAGUAACACAUAAAAAAGUGUCAAUGAAUUUGAAAGAAGCUCAGACAGAAAAAAGAAUAUGCCAGAAAAAAAGUUUGAGGAGAGAAGACGGACAAUUCGUCUUCGUUAUUAGUGCAUUUGUAUAUGAAUUAAACCAGUAUAUUGACAAUUCAAUAAACACUAUCAGUGAUAUAUGCAACUGCUUAGCCUACACAUUCAGAACUCUUUAGGAACGUACGUUAAUGGACAUUCUGUAGACGUUAUUAGCUACUCACGCUAUAUUCCAGUGGAAAAGAAUGAUUUUCCGGGAACAAGGCAGAUUAAACAAUGGCCUCCAGCAUGGUUUGAAUUACGUAAUAAAGCUAAAGUUACAGGGAGUGUUUUUUUUACAACGCAAUCGGCCUUGAUGGACUCAAGAAAUAACGUGAGCACUUUUUGAAGGUUAUUUGCGGGGAACAGGAAACAAAACCAUCUCAAGAGGCUUUGAAAAACAUGGAAUACUGUACGAAGAAAGAAUCAAUGCCACGGCAACGCUAAUUAGGAAAUAUAUUGCCAGUGUAUGAACCGCAAUAUGUCUAUCAGGAGGAAGACUGUGUAACGUUUGAUGAAAACAAAUCUCCAUUCUUGGUUGUUUCUCCGGACGGAAGCUUAAAAGACAAGGUGACUGGAGAAACAAAAAUGGCAGUUGAGUUCAAGUGCCCAGUAAAGAAAAUACACAUUGAGUUCCCUGUCAGGUACUAUGUGCAAUGCAUUUCAGAAAUUUAGACCCUAGAUAUGGAACAGCUAUUGUAAGUAUGUUGGAGACCCGAUAUAACGACAGCUUUCAUUGUUUCUAGAGAUACUGAAACAUUUAGAGAAACAUUUACUUUAGCAAGGGAAUUUCUUAAUGAAAAAUCUUCAAAAAGACCAACUAAACUUGAUACAAGGACCAAGACACUAAAGGAAAAAAUAGAGAAAAUCGUUUUGAAAGUUGCAUUUAUCGGAAAAUUUUACUAAAUUUCUGCAGGAGGAGGUGAAUGUCCAGAUUAUCAAAUGAAGAUAUAAUCGUUUCAAAUGUAAUCACUUUGUACGACAACCUGAUAAUGCUAAUGAAGGAAUUCUAUGAAUUAAAGCGUCAAAAGGCAACCGAGGCUUUGGUGUUUCUCAUAUGUGAUCUAGACAGAACGUGGACAAAAAAUCAAAUUCUAUGGCCACCAAUAUGUUGGUGUACAAAAGGCUAUAGCCUCAGUACGAAUACAAUCCGUGGGAUUAUGGAAACACUUCUAAAUGAAUGCCAUGAUUCAGGUAUUUAUGUGCUUGCGUGCAGUUUCGACGGUCAGUGACAUAAUAUUGUAGUGCGUGACAUUGCUGGAAAGCCAUUGACGUUAUUCAAAUUACAGAAAGAUGUUUGGAAGAAAGUACAACAAUUAUCUAAGUCCGAAUUAGAGAAGACCUUGCAGAAUGUUGCAAAUGUUCCACAAUGGUUCUUGGAUCACAAUGAAUCCCCGAAAUUAAACAGUACACAGGGAACGAUUAAAGUUUGUACGAACGGAAGAAAAAGGCUUCCAAAAACACCAUCAAAAGACUGGAACGAGAAGAAAAAUAAAAAGCCAAAAGAUGCAAAUGAACAAAUGGUCAAUAUUGAAGAAACACUGGAUGUCGUAUUUGAUGAAAUAUGAUAAACAAACAGUGAAUGUAUUAGCAACAGUGAAGAUGAUAAUGGAAAACAUGUCAUCGAAGUUGAAGAGCUGUAUGCACUUAAAGGAAACGAAAUAAAUGCACAUAUAGACAAUAACAAUAUCAGUGACAGACGGGAAACGUGUUCGGAAAAGAAAUGCUAUGAAAUUAAAGAAUCAGAUGCCUCUGGACUAACUGCUGAUUAUGUUAAGAACAGAUAUAUGCGCUUACAAAACGGGAAUAUGGAACAAGAAACAAAAAGAAGACAUACUGGAAUUAUUACGUAUCAAACAAAUCUUGAACAAGCCCGAGAUGUCGAAAUAAGAGUGAUAAUAAGGUAUCUUAAAACAGUUCUUGGGAAAAAAGUUAAAAAACGGUUAAAGAAUAUGCUAGAAAGAAAAUAAAAAUUGGCACCGAAGCAACAGCUAGAUACACUUACAUUUACAAAGCCAAACAAUUCUGACCCCCCCCCCCCUCCACCCCCCGCUCAAAGUGCUAGCAGCACAUGCCCUGAAACAUGUUCCAAAAUCAGUUCUCAACAUUACCUAUGCUGAAUAUGUAUGGCCAACAGAAAGGUAUACAUGGUAUGCAGAUUCUGCUACCAAGAACGAAAUUAAGAUAGAACCUCUAAAUGAACCUGCAUUCUGGGUUCAGACGUUAAUUAAGUACGACAAGAAAACAGAUAGAUGUUCGGAGCAUCGACUCUACACAUUUUACUUACAAGGACAAAAAGAAAAACUUGCAAAGGGGGAUUGAAAACCUUGACAGCACGCCAUGGAUGAAGGUUGCAAAGCAAGGAAAGACACUGUUAACACCAGUAAUGGUAUCUGAAAUAAUUGAUCCAAUGUCAAUGCCCGUGGCUGUUACACAUUUCGGAUCUCCAGUUCAAGCGGCGAUGAUCGAAAAUGGCGGCCAUGAUGCAGCUUCCUUGUGUCGAGUUAUUAAUGUUUGGUGGCGAGCAGAAGAUUAACCUGGCAUGUCUGCAGAAGACCGACUGCGGCUGAGGUUAAACUUAAGAGAAAUAUUACACAGGAAUUAUGAUUUCGAUUCUUUUCCGUCUCCGGGAAUGUAUGUGAAUGGGUGGCCGUCACAACUUUGGGAGGCACUGAUCUCCAACAUUGACGCUAAAGCGCAAUUAUAUUUCUUGACAGAAACGUUCAAUACUAGGUCUUUCAGCAGUAUGAUGGGUGAAACAUUUUUUGCUGAGCUAACGAAUCAGGACAGGGUAGCUACGCGACAGUCCCUUGUGACGAUUCUGCGAAGUAUAAUGGCAAGAGGGAUGAACAAAUGCAAACUAGACUAGACCCGGAAAGGUAUAUAUCAAAUUGAUUUGCAAACAUUAUAUAAAUACUUGAACGAUUGUGGGCAAAUCUUAAUUUUUCGGAUUUUUAGAAGUCGUAACAUAGAACUAUGUUUUAAUAACAGUUCUUGCA
rnacentral:lncRNA from 1 species